rnacentral:tRNA from 1 species
UCCUUGAUGGUCCUGUGGUUAAGAGUCUGCACUUCCAGUGCAGGAGAUGCAGGUUCAAUCCCUGGUCAGGGAA